rnacentral:rRNA from 1 species
GAUGAACGCUGGCGGCGUGCUUAACACAUGCAAGUCGAACGGUGAAGGCGGAGCUUGCUCUGCUGGAUCAGUGGCGAACGGGUGAGUAACACGUGAGCAAUCUGCCCCUGACUCUGGGAUAAGCGCUGGAAACGGCGUCUAAUACUGGAUACGAGCUGCGAAGGCAUCUUCAGCAGCUGGAAAGAAUUUCGGUCAGGGAUGAGCUCGCGGCCUAUCAGCUUGUUGGUGAGGUAAUGGCUCACCAAGGCGUCGACGGGUAGCCGGCCUGAGAGGGUGACCGGCCGCACUGGGACUGAGACACGGCCCAGACUCCUACGGGAGGCAGCAGUGGGGAAUAUUGCACAAUGGGCGAAAGCCUGAUGCAGCAACGCCGCGUGAGGGACGACGGCCCUCGGGUUGUAAACCUCUUUUAGCAGGGAAGAAGCGAAAGUGACGGUACCUGCAGAAAAAGCGCCGGCUAACUACGUG